AUGCUCGGAGAGGGUCAACUGGACCUCUCCUCCGCUCUGCCGUUCGUGGAACACAACCGUGGUGCCCAGCCCUUGGGAGCCUUGGAGCCAGCGGGCCUGCUGCUCUCCACCCUUUGUUUAAAAAACAAUUCAAAAUGUGAAACUAGAGAGGAAAGAGACAGCAUAGAAUGCAGCGCACACGGCCGCUCCAGUUCCCAGGGGCGCUGGGGAUGCGUCCAAAGUGGUUGAGACAGAGUCGGAAACCCUCACCAACUGGCCUCUUCACCUUCCACCUUAUCCUGCUGCCACUGGCUGCCCUGUCUCACUGCAGAUUCAGAACCAGCUUGGGCUCCGUGCGUUCUGCCUUGCCAGCCGGCCGAGGAUGUAGUUGUUGCUGCCAUCAUCCUACCACCUCAGGGACCAGAGGGCUAGGUUGGCACUGCGGCCCUCACCAGGUCCUGGGCUCGGACCCAACUCCUGGACCUUUCCAGCCUGUAUCAGGCUGUGGCCACACAAGAGGACAGCGUGAGCUCAGGAGAGGCUUAGUGACAAUGUACGCCUUUCCCUCAGAAUUCAAGGAAGAGACUGUUGCUUGCCUUCCUCCAUCUUAGCGUGAGAACCCGUGUGUCCCUUCCCACCACAUCCAUCCUCUUCAUUUUUGAACUCAAACACGAGGAACUAACUGUGCCCUGGUCCUCUCCCCAGUCCCCAAUUCACCCUCCAUCCCUCACCUUCCUCCACUCUUAAGGGAUAUCAACACUGCCCAGCACAGGGGCCCUGAAUUUAUGUGGUUUUUGUAUGUUUUUUAAUAAGAUGCACUUUAUGUCAUUUUUUAAUAACGUCUGAAGAAUUAUUGUU